rnacentral:misc_RNA from 1 species
UUUCCGUAGGUGAACCUGCGGAAGGAUCAUUCAUAAUAAAGUGUUUUAUGGCACUUUUAAAAAUCCAUAUCCACCUUGUGUGCAAUGUUAGAUCUCGUCAAUCUUGGCGAGAUUUUUAUACAACAACUCAUUUUUUAACUAAUUUGUCUGAAAAAUAUUAUGAAUACUUAAUUCAAAAUACAACUUUCAACAACGGAUCUCUUGGCUCUC